rnacentral:rRNA from 1 species
GAUGAACGCUGACAGAAUGCUUAACACAUGAAAGUCAACUGUGGCGGACGGGUGAGUAACGCGUAAAGAAAUUGCCUCACGGAUAGGGAAAACAUUUGGAAACGAAUGCUAAUACCUGAAACUGUGAGAGAGCUUUGCGUCACAUUAGCUAGUUGGAGAGGUAACGGCUCACCAAGGCGAUGAUGGGUAGCCGGCCUGAGAGGGUGAUCGGCCACAAGGGGAAUGAGACACGGCCCUUACUCCUACGGGGGGCAUCAGUGGGGAAUAUUGAACAAUGGACCAAAGUCUGAUCCAGCAAUUCUGUGUGCACGAUGAAGUUUUCGGAAUGUAAAGUGCUUUCAGUUGGGAAGCGGUACCAACAGAAGAAGUGACGGCUAAAUACGUGCCAGCAGCCGCGGUAAUUC